rnacentral:rRNA from 1 species
UACGUAGGGCGCAAGCGUUAUCCGGAAUUAUUGGGCGUAAAGAGCUCGUAGGCGGUUUGUCGCGUCUGCCGUGAAAGUCCGGGGCUCAACUCCGGAUCUGCGGUGGGUACGGGCAGACUAGAGUGAUGUAGGGGAGACUGGAAUUCCUGGUGUAGCGGUGAAAUGCGCAGAUAUCAGGAAGAACACCUAUGGCGAAGGCAGCUCUCUGGGACGGUACUGACGCUGAGACGCGAAAGCCAGGGGAGCGAACGGG